CCUACGGGGGGCUGCAGUGGGGAAUAUUGCACAAUGGGCGGAAGCCUGAUGCAGCAACGCCGCGUGCGGGAUGACGGCCUUCGGGUUGUAAACCGCUUUCAGCAGGGACGAAGCGUGAGUGACGGUACCUGCAGAAGAAGCACCGGCUAACUACGUGCCAGCAGCCGCGGUGAUACGUAGGGUGCGAGCGUUGUCCGGAUUUAUUGGGCGUAAAGAGCUUGUAGGCGGUUGGUUGCGUCGAAAGUGCAAACUCAGGGCUUAACUCUGAGCCUGCUUUCGAUACGGGCUGACUGGAGGAAGGUAGGGGAGAAUGGAAUUCCCGGUGGAGCGGUGGAAUGCGCAGAUAUCGGGAGGAACACCAGUGGCGAAGGCGGUUCUCUGGACCUUUCCUGACGCUGAGAAGCGAAAGCGUGGGGAGCAAACAGGCUUAGAUACCCCGGUAGUC
rnacentral:rRNA from 1 species